rfam:Loxodonta africana unplaced genomic scaffold scaffold_0, whole genome shotgun sequence.
GCAGUGGUGGUUCAGCGGUAGAAUUUUCACCUUCCAUGUGGGAGACCAAGGCUGGAUUCCUAGCCAAUGCA